GACCCUACUCAAAACCACUCACAACUUCACAAACCAUAUCGAAGAGACGGAAGAAUCGGCUGAGAAUCAGAUGGAAGAGGUGGAGAGGAAUGGAUUGGAUCAUCAACUCACUGCAAAUGAUAAUCAUACAAUCAACAUGCUUGGGGUUGCAGCAAAUUGGGAUGAUUCUAUGUGCGAUAGCAAUGGCGGCUUAUGAUCAGGAGAAACCGGAGCUUUUUCAUGGAAAUGGAGCUGAGGAAGCUAGAAGACGUGGUCAGAUCAGUUCAUGACGAAAUGAUUUAUCUCCGUGAACGAUAUACAAUCCAUAUGAUUUAUUUUCCUAGGGAUAGAAUGAACUACUUUGUUUUGCUUUACUUGUUUCAUUACAUUCUGAGACCCAUUUACUUUUGCGUGUUUCAGGGAGGAAGAAAUGCAAGGCAUCAAUCGAGCAAUCAAUUCUAAAAUGGCGUGGUUAGGUUUCUUGUCACUAUUGGUCUGCUUAUCAGUAGCAGGCUUGCAGGUAUGGCAUUUGAAGAACUUCUUUGAGAGGAAGAAGUUCCUGUAGUUUUGUCCCGAUUUGUUAGUUUUGUCCCCGGAGAAGGGUUUUUGACAAGAGAUAAUAGUUUUGACUGUAGAAUCCAAUCUUUUUUUAUAGUUCAAACGGAGGUUCCGUAGCCAUCAUUUUUCAUGUUCUUCAUAAUACAUUCGAGAACUUUGUAAAUGGCAUUACAUUUAGGAUGCUUCUUAUCUUGGACAACAAAUUCAUGCACUUCACAGUCAACCUCUAUGGAACUGCAACCAGGAUUCCUUCGUUGCUUGACCCGGUCUCUCGCUGCCAUCUUCUCAUCCCACAUCCCUGCGGCAGCAAAAGUAUUGGAUAUUGUCACACCAGUAAGGGAACAAUCCUCCGUGAGUGAUUGUAUUACUUGGCAACCUGCGCUUUCUGUCAAACGAGUACAAAUUGAUGGGUUCUGGUGCCUUCCUGACUUUGAGAGUUCAGUUUCAAUAUUGCAGGCUUUAUCAGGAGGAGGCAUCACCUCUUGCCCCACGCCAGACGGGAAUUUGGAUUACAGGAAUGUCUUAGAAUCAAGUGACAAGCUCUGUGUUCUGAACAGGUGUCUUCAAUUAGAGGUCUCCAGUUAGGUAGCGGUUUAUCUGUUUGCCCAUCAGGCAUGUAAGUUUUUACCUAUCCCUCUCCAUUAAGAUUUUAUAGUCAUUGCUAUGUAGUAGGGAAUUUAAGCUUGAAUUCCGUAGUGUUGCUACAUAGGUCCGUUUUGUAUCUUUCAACUUUAUGCGACAAUGUCAUCCUAGGAAAGAAGUCACUACAUGCAGCAAUGAAUUUUCUCGUUGCACCUCCUCUUUCUGAAAACCCUCAAGAUACCUCCUCCAUACAAAGUGAGAGCGUAGGAGAUGCCAAGCCCACUUUAUUGUGGAAGGCGACGUUCAUUCAAGAGCUGGGUAAGGUAAAGAUGUUGCCGCAGAGGUUUUCUUUUCUGUACUGUGUUCUGCAAUUUGCAUCUCAGCUUUUAAAAUAUGAUGAAUUCUGGUGCCUUGCCGCACGCCAGACUGGAAUUUGGAUUACAGGAAUAUCUUAGAAUCAAGUGAGAAGGCUUAGGCACUUGCCCGAUGCAAUUAAUAUUUAGAUCUCAGUGUGUAGAGAAGAUUAGUUACAGGUUUAGAAGUAUCAAUUAAUGGAAUUUCUUUAAUUUUUUUCCUGUAAAGAAUGCAAAUGUCUGUCUCGGAUCAUGAUUCUUUUCAAGUUUAAAAUUCAAUAUCAUCUAAAUUUCUUUC